CAUAUUUCUCACAAACCAACAAAAAAUUGGCACUAAAAGGCAAACUUUGGGACAGGUACCAAGGACGAAAACGGUACGUUGCAAAACUAGAUCAGAAUUCGAAGCGCCCGAAACUACAUAAUCGCAACCCCGAGCAAACGAGCAAUAUGAUGACAACUACUGGCAAUGAAGAAUAUAAUCAAAUAUGUGCUGAUCUCAAUACUGUAUAGAUAUACUGUGAGAUACUGUACUAACGAAAUGAAAGCAAACAAUUUCGUAAAAAAAUCGUUUGUUCAACUUAGAUAUGACGCUGCAUCAAAUUUUAGAUGAGUGGCCGUUGUACAAAUACUCCAAGGCUCCUGAAUUGGUUGACAUUGACUAUAAUGACAGUUUCCCUGUAAAUGGGCUAAAUUUUUCAAAUUGGAAUCAUUUGUUGUACACAAUCGCUUCGGAUCUGUUUGAGCAAAGGAUAAAAGAUCCACAAACCAAGCAGCUUAAAAGCGGGUAUUCGGAAAGAAAGACGUAUUAAAUAUAGACAAUUUCAACAUAUGUUACACGUAAAGUAAAAAGGGACCUGCUGUUGUUUUUAUUUUCAAGAAAAAUAAACAAAAAUAACAUGCAAUCGCCACAAGGACCAAGAUUAUGACUACUCAAAAAGCUCUUCGUGGAGGUACGGAAGGAAUCGCCAUCAUUUUUGUACGAUUUCAGCCAGAAGGAAUAUAAAAAUAACAAAUUGAAGCAAAUAGUUUGAGCUGAAAUUGCCGAGUCGCUUGAACUACCAAGUAGGUGAUAUUUUGUUAUUGUACAUAUGUGUGCUCAA